UCUCCUGUAGCUCAGUGGUAGAGCGUCCGACCGGUGUGCGGAUGAUCUUAGUUUCGACUCCUGUUGGGAGAA